AUUGAACGCUGGCGGCAUGCCUUACACAUGCAAGUCGAACGGUAACAGGUCUUCGGAUGCUGACGAGUGGCGAACGGGUGAGUAAUACAUCGGAACGUGCCUAGUAGUGGGGGAUAACUACUCGAAAGAGUGGCUAAUACCGCAUGAGAUCUACGGAUGAAAGCAGGGGAUCGCAAGACCUUGUGCUACUAGAGCGGCCAAUAGCAGAUUAGGUAGUUGGUGGGAUAAAAGCUUACCAAGCCGACGAUCUGUAGCUGGUCUGAGAGGACGAUCAGCCACACUGGGACUGAGACACGGCCCAGACUCCUACGGGAGGCAGCAGUGGGGAAUUUUGGACAAUGGGCGCAAGCCUGAUCCAGCAAUGCCGCGUGCAGGAUGAAGGCCUUCGGGUUGUAGACUGCUUUUGUACGGAACGAAAAGCCCUGGGUUAAUACCCUGGGGUCAUGACGGUACCGUAAGAAUAAGCACCGGCUAACUACGUGCCAGCCGCCGCGGUAAUAC
rnacentral:rRNA from 1 species